CGGGGAGACGGCACUCUGGCCAGAGGCAUGUGGAGCCCCAAGUCAAUUGUCUGCCAUUCGUGAAGCUGGCCUAGCCUUGCUCAGGCUACAAUAUCUCAGGGAGGACCUGAUAUCAGCAACCCACUCAGAACACUCCUCCAUGGCACAUCCCAUGGUGGCUCAGCUCCAUUGACUGCUAUGUGUUUCAUCUUGCAAAAGGCCUCACUCAGAGGAGGACAGCAAAUAAAGAAAUGGCCUGGCCACACAAUGGGACCUUGGGGGUCACAGUGACGCGCAACCUCACAGCAGGGAACAAGGAAGGGUCUAUAAUCACCCAAAGGACGAUCCAAUGGGCAUGCCUGUGGGUGACUGUCUAGACUGGUUUAAUUCAAGUGGAAAGAACUACUACCCUAAACGUGAGUGGCGCCAUUCCACGAAAUGAAGUCCUGCCCUGAAUAAAAAGGAGAUCGUCAGCUGUGCACCAGCAUCCAUCUUCCUGCUCCCUGACUGAGGUGCGACCAGCCUCGUCAUGCCCCUGCAGUUGUGCCUUUCCACCAUGAUGGACUAUCCCCUGGAACCGUGUGAGCUUAAUUAAACCCAUC